rnacentral:rRNA from 1 species
AAUCUGCCGCAAUGGACGAAAGUCUGACGGAGCAACGCCGCGUGAGUGAUGAAGGCUUUCUGGUCGUAAAACACUGUUGUUAGGGAAGAACAAGUACAAGAGUAACUGCUUGUACCUUGACGAUACCUAACCAGAAAGCCACGGCUAACUACGUGCCUGCCGCCGCGGUAAUACGUAGGUGGCAAGCGUUAUCCGGAAUUAUUGGGCGUAAAGCGCGCGCAUGCGGUUUCUUAAGUCUGAUGUAAAAGCCCACGGCUCAAACGUGGAGGGUCAUUGGAAACUGGGGAACUUGAGUGCAAAAGAGAAAAGCGGAAUUCCACGUGUAGCGGUGAAAUGCGUAGAGAUGUGGAGGAACACCAAUGGCGAAGACGGCUUUUUGGUCUGUAACUGACGCUGAGGCGCGAAAGCGUGGGGAGCAAACAGG